rnacentral:rRNA from 1 species
AACGCGAAGAACCUUACCAGGGCUUGACAUGCUACUGCAAGCCGCCGAAAAGCGGUCGCCUUCGAGGGUGUAGCACAGGUGGUGCAUGGCUGUCGUCAGCUCGUGUUGUGAAAUGUUGGGUUAAGUCCCGCAACGAGCGCAACCCUCAUGAUCUGUUGCCAGCGAGUAAUGUCGGGAACUCUGAUCAAACUGCCUCUGUAAAGAGGAGGAAGGUGGGGAUGACGUCAAGUCAUCAUGCCCCUUACGCCCUGGGCUGCACAUAUGCUACAAUGGCCGGUACAAUGGGCUGCUAAAGCGCGAGCUCAUGCAAAUCCCAAAAAGCCGGUCUCAGUUCGGAUUGGAGUCUGCAACUCGACUCCAUGAAGUCGGAAUCGCUAGUAACCGCAGGUCAGCAAUACUGCGGUGAAUACGUUCCCGGGCCUUGUACACACCGACUGUAC